ACUCCUACGGGAGGCAGCAGUGGGGAAUAUUGGACAAUGGGGGGAACCCUGAUCCAGCCAUGCCGCGUGUGUGAAGAAGGCCUUUUGGUUGUAAAGCACUUUAAGCGAGGAGGAGGCUUACCUGUUAAUNCCUUGGGAAUAAGUGGACGUUUACUCGCAGAUAAGCACCGCUAACUCUGUGCCAGCAGCCGCGGUAAUACAGAGGGUGCAAGCGUUAAUCGGAUUUACUGGGCGUAAAGCGCGCGUAGGUGGCUAAUUAAGUCAAAUGUGAAAU
rnacentral:rRNA from 1 species